rnacentral:rRNA from 1 species
CUUGCUCUUUGGGUGGCGAGUGGCGGACGGGUGAGGAUACAUCGGAUCUACUCUUUCGUGGGGGAUAACGUAGGGAAACUUACGCUAAUACCGCAUACGACCUACGGGUGAAAGCGGAGGACCUUCGGGCUUCGCGCGAUUGAAUGAGCCGAUGUCGGAUUAGCUAGUUGGCGGGGUAAAGGCCCACCAAGGCGACGAUCCGUAGCUGGUCUGAGAGGAUGAUCAGCCACACUGGAACUGAGACACGGUCCAGACUCCUACGGGAGGCAGCAGUGGGGAAUAUUGGACAAUGGGCGCAAGCCUGAUCCAGCCAUGCCGCGUGGGUGAAGAAGGCCUUCGGGUUGUAAAGCCCUUUUGUUGGGAAAGAAAAGCAGUCGGUUAAUACCCGAUUGUUCUGACGGUACCCAAAGAAUAAGCACCGGCUAACUUCGUGCCAGCAGCCGCGGUAAUACGAAGGUGCAAGCGUUACUCGGAAUUACUGGGCGUAAAGCGUGCGUGGUGGUUUAAGUCUGUGUGAAAGCCCUGGGCUCACUGGGAAUUGCAGUGGUACUGGGUCCUAGAUGUGGUAAGGUAGCGGAUUCCCCGUGUAUG